rnacentral:tRNA from 1 species
GGGUGUAGCUCAUUGGUAGAGUGUUUGCCUAGCAUGUAUGAGGCCCUGAGUUCAAUCCCCAGGGCACUCC